AAGAAAGAAAGAAAACAAAAACCUAAAAAACACACCCGCCCCCCUCUCUUCUUCUUCUUCUCCAAAAUCACACAAACCCUAAACACCAUGGCUGCCCCCCACUACCAUCUCUGAUGUCCCAGCAGCCACCAGCCUCACUCCCACCGCCCGUCGUUUCUCCGUCAUUGCCAGAACCAGCAACCACCCAACGACCCCUCACUUUUUCAAUCAAACGCCACCCCCACGACCUCUCCAUAUCCAUCGUCUCACAACCAUGAACGAAUAGACCACAACGUCCACCGUCGUCAACCUCCAUCGUCAAACAGCCAUUUCCGACCAGCUCCACGCCGUUUAUUGUCUAGCCGCAACCACUCGACCAACUCCCAUUUUUGUCGACCAAACUGCUUCAACGCCAUUGUUGAACCUUCAACUGACCACUCCACUGCUCACCUUCUUCUUCUCCAUCGUUACAGUCAUCCCCCAUAACCAGCAGUCCCCUCACGUCCCUUCCUCCAUAACCAGCCAUCAAAACCACAAAAAGCUUCUUUCACAUAGCUGAAAAAAAUGACCGAGAAACAACCAAAAAAUGCAGCACUGUUCAUGUCCAAAAUCGAGCUGCGUUGCGUCACUUGAAUACAAGAGAGGGUUCGAGGUCGUUGUUGAGAUUCCGGGUAGAUUUAAGUUAUCCUGGGUUUCAAAAUUUCCGGGCAGAUUUUUUUCCCCUUUAGUUCGUCGUUAUUUCGAUCCGGUUAGUUUGUUUAAGUUUCAUUUUGCCCGUGUUUUGUUUAAUAUUCUAGGAUCUAAAAUCAGUAUAUAUUUGAUUAUUUUCUUGUUCAUUGUUUAUCAUUUUCUUGAUUAUUUCUUCGGUUUGUUUUAUCAUUUGUUCUAGCUUAAUUUUAAUAUCGAAAUGUUUUAGUUUAAUUACUUGAAUCAUUUAUCUUAUUAUACUGUUGUUGGAUUUAAUUUAAAGUUCAAUUGAUUAUUGAGUUUAGUAAUUUGAAUCUGUUUUAUUGCUAUGUUAAGUCUAAAUUUGGAUAUGAGUUAGAGAUUUGAGUUUAUUUGUUUGAUCUGUUUAGUGAUUUGAAUUUACUUGAUUGUAAUUGUUGUUAAAUCUUAAAGUAUGUUUAUUGUUAAAAAUAUUGUUCAGUCAAACUAAUUUUUUGUUGGUUCUUUGUUGUUAAUCAUAUAAUUUAAAUUUGUAGAUUGAAUUUGAUUAAGAAUUGGUUAUAACUGCUAAUAUUUUGGUUAAUUGAUUUAGGUGAAUUGGUUAUAGCUCAUAGGAGUAGAGUCGUAACUUUGAUAAUUUCGGGGGUAUUUUUGAAAUAUUAAAUUUGGAUAAUUAUUUAAUUUAAGUGCUUUGUCCACUAGAUUAAAAUAUUAUUAAAAUAAUAUAAUGGGGGACAAGACAUAAUUAGUAAAGAGGGGGUAAUAAUGUGGUCUUCUUUGACCACUGAAAAUGGGGGGACUGUGGGGUCCGUGUUGACUACUUUUUUUCUUAAUUAAAAACACAAAUAGAAUAAGUAAUAAUAAAAGGUUAAAAAGUCACAUAGUUAGAAGAAUAUGGUUGGAAAGCAAACGAGGUAAAAUUGUUAGUAAUAAUAGUUUAAAAGUAAAAGAUAAUAGUUAAAAAGGUAAAAGAAGGGGUCUUGCUUUGUAUAUAAUAGGACUCAUUUAACACUUAUGGAGGAGACUGAAUUUGGGGAGCGAAAAAUUUUCAGAACUUAAAAGGAGACCAAAACAUAGAAUAAGAAAAGAAUUGAGAGUCAGACAAAAUUAGAGAGCUGAAAACACCACUAUUUAUUUGAAGCUUCUCUUUUUGCUUCAUUGAUAUUAUUUCUCUUGAUUCAAAUACAUUAAGACUGAUCUUAAGUAACUCUAGUGUGUCUUUGAGUUCAUUUGGCUAGUGUUGAUAUUGAUGUGGCUUGAAGUCAAUUUCUGUUGGUAUUUUCUGGUUUGAUUUUACCGGGUUUUGUUAUGGGUUUAGCUACUGUUGUUGCUGUUUUGCUGUGUUGAUUACUGCCUUGCCGAUUUCUCACGUUCCUCUUCUCUUGUUUCCAAUACCAGGUACAUGGCUGUAACCUUGUUGAUAUUGUAAACUGAAAUGUGAAAGCAUGAAUACAUAUGAGGAAUGAAACUUUGAAGUUUUAAUUUAGCUUUUCUUCUUUGUUUCUUUUACUGAUUGUAUUUAGGCUAUUUUAUGUAUUAUUAUUCUGUAAAUUUCUGUCGCCUUGCAUAACUAGGCAUCUU
rnacentral:lncRNA from 1 species